rnacentral:tRNA from 1 species
CGGGAAAUAGCUCAGCUUGGUAGAGGCACCUGGUUUGGGACCAGGGGGUCGCAGGUUCGAAUCCUGUUUUCCCGA